rnacentral:rRNA from 1 species
AUGCAAAUUUAUGAUGUUGCUAAAAAAUUAUUCCCCUGUAGCAGGUCACAUUCUUAUUUGAAGACUUUACAAUUUUGCAGCAAGCUCCUCUUGAUAAAAGAUUGCAUUUUUAGAUGUUUGCACAAUAUUGCAAUCCCUGCCUACCAAACAAUUGUUUCGUAUGGAGAGGAUUGUGAUUGGAGGGGUUUGUGGGUUUCAAGUGGAUUUGAGGGGAUUGAGUCAAAAAGGGGAUUCACCGAAUCCCCUCCUCUCCAAACCUCUCAAAUCCACUUCUACCAAACAAAGACUGAAAGAUAUGGUGAUAUCUGA